rnacentral:rRNA from 1 species
UACGGGGGGGGCAAGCGUUGUUCGGAAUUAUUGGGCGUAAAGCGCGUGUAGGCGGCUUGUUAAGUUGGUUGUGAAAACCCAUGGCUCAACCGUGGAAGUGCACCCGAAACUGCGUAGCUAGAGUCCUGGAGAGGAAGGUGGAAUGCUUGGUGUAGAGGUGAAAUUCGUAGAUAUCAAGCGGAACACCGGUGGCGAAGGCGGCCUUCUGGACAGUGACUGACGCUGAGACGCGAAAGCGUGGGGAGCAAACAGG